rnacentral:rRNA from 1 species
AUUGAACGCUGGCGGCAUGCCUUACACAUGCAAGUCGAACGGUAACAGGUCUUCGGAUGCUGACGAGUGGCGAACGGGUGAGUAAUGCAUCGGAACGUGCCCAGUAGUGGGGGAUAGCCCGGCGAAAGCCGGAUUAAUACCGCAUACGACCUGAGGGUGAAAGGGGGGGAUCGCAAGACCUCUCGCUAUUGGAGCGGCCGAUGUCAGAUUAGCUAGUUGGUGGGGUAAAGGCCUACCAAGGCAACGAUCUGUAGUUGGUCUGAGAGGACGACCAGCCACACUGGGACUGAGACACGGCCCAGACUCCUACGGGAGGCAGCAGUGGGGAAUUUUGGACAAUGGACGCAAGUCUGAUCCAGCCAUGCCGCGUGCGGGAAGAAGGCCUUCGGGUUGUAAACCGCUUUUGUCAGGGAAGAAAUCUUCUGGGUUAAUACCUCGGGAGGAUGACGGUACCUGAAGAAUAAGCACCGGCUAACUACGUGCCAGCAGCCGCGGUAACAC